AUAUAUAUAUAUAUAUAUAUAUAUAUUGAUCACCAAUUUUCAAAAUGGACAAAAACUUGGAGUCAUGCAUUUCAAAUUGUGUGAUGCAUGAAAAUCUUGGUCAUUAGACAAUUAUGACUAAUUCGUUGUCAUUUGUUUAUGUGAGUCAAGUGAACGACUAAUGGAUCUAGUACAUGUUGAUAUUGACUAUUCAGAUCCACAACAAAGGACGAUAACUCCAUUCGUCACGAUUUUCUGAUGUUUCAGUAAAUAUGGUUGUGUUUAUAAGAUUAAGCAUAAUUUUGAUACUUUGAAAAAAUAGCAGAACAAAUAAAAAGAAUCUAUUAGGCGGUAAGAUAAAAGUUUGUUCAAUCUAAAAGGAAAAUAGAGGAAUUCAGUAUCAUGUUUAAGGAUCAUCUUAGUGAUUGUGGAUUUAUAUGACAAUUGAUCCUCAUAGAACAUCUUAGUGUAAUUGUAUGACCAAGAAGAUGAAUCAAACAUUUUUUGAAAUGGAUCGAUCAUAGAUGAGUCAUACUUUGUUUCGAUAAAGGUUUAGAGUCAUACUCUAGUAACUAUAAAUCAUAUCUUGAAAAUCGUUUCAAACUAAGAAGGUCUAAAACACCUCGAAAUAUGUUAAGUAAAAACACUUUCUUACUCUAGCACAUAUAGAAUUAGAGUUGUGAUGUUUUCGUUAAUCAAGAAGAAAAAGAUAAACUGAGACCUAUUCUAUGCAGUGUUUUCUUAUCGAGAAUCCAUAGUAACUUUUGAAUAUUUGUUUUACCUCAUCAAGGAAUGUUCCUUGAGAGAAAACUCAUAUGUCAAAAUGUCAGUGGGAGUCGUAUUGAUCUUGAGAGUUUCAAGAGUCAAUUAAUAAUAAACCUUUUAGUUAUCACUACAACUCGACCUGUGGUUGAUAACCUAUCAUGUUUGGUUGACACAUUCUUAUUUCUAUACACUUCUAGUUGUGUUGGAAAGCUUGUGAGUUUUAUGUUUUCAUUUAACUACAAAAGAAAAGUGUGUUGGUAAGUGAAAGUGCAUUAAUCAAUAUGGGUGACUUGCUAACAAUAUGGAAGCACCGGUAGGCCCUUGAGCUACCAAAGGGUAAAAAAUUUAGAAAUAUCAAAUUUCAGUCCAUGAAGAAAAGCUAAAUUUGAAUAUGUUUAUGUCCUAAACCUUGUCUUAUGAUUGUAGGUUAGAAAUGAUAGAUUCACAUAGAUGGGAAUGUAUGCACCGUAAAAUCUAGGUGGCAAUGGUUUCACUCUAUUUUCUAAGGAAUGAUUGUUAAGAAAUACUUUCUCUAAUAGAUUAUAUAAUCUGAUAAAGAUCAAUAUGGAUGUUGGUUGUGUUAAUUGUAUUCUCAAUUUCACAAUAUGAUUACGACAUCUCUCUUCAUAUUUCAAAUUCUAAGGAAUGGAAAGGAAUUGUUUGAACUUUCAAGACACAUAUCUAUAAGUUCUGAAAGGGUUUAAAAACACACAUAUGUUAUCCAAUUAAGGUGUAUAAGCUUAAAAGUUCUAGUUGGAGACUUAUCGUAGCAUCGCGUAACAAAAAUCUAUACUUCAUUGGGAAAGUCAAGAGUAUUGAUUUCUAGAACUCCAGUUGAUUUCUAGGUACAUGUCAAAGCUAGUAGGAUCAUAAUUGCUAUGCUAGUAUUGCAUGUUGAUAAUAUUGUUUGUAGGGAACAAAGUUUUUCAAUUUGCAAACUGCAAAGCCUGGGAAUUAUUUCUCUAUAGUAUAAUUAAGGGAAAGGGCACUAUUACUUCUUUUCAAAUCUAAAGGUUUAGAUCGUAUAGUUUAACAGAACUUAGUCAUAGCCAUAUGAAUAUCAUGUUGACAUGGUUCAACAUAGGAAAUUCAAUAUAUGGAAAUAUUAUAGCAAUAGAUUGAACAUAUAUCAGAUCCUUAUAUAAGAUAUAAUGAAUCGAGUCCUAUAUGCUUCUAAUAUAGGAUCGAUUACAUAUGCUAUAAUAUUCACUUAUUCUAAUUUUUUCAAAUGCUUAGAGCAUUGCGAGAAAAAGGACUAGAACUUUGUGUAAGUAAAGUUUUAAACAAACAGUCAUGAACAUUAUAAGGUCAGACCAAAGUAGUGCUUGCUUGUGGACAGUUAGAAGUAUGAUAUUAGUUUGGACAGACCAUAGUGACAUGAUUCUGAGUGGAGAUGAUUCUUGAUCAGAAUUAGUGGUCAUAUGGUCGUAUGGAAAUGUUUCAUAAUGGGAGAUGGUUCAAAAGUCUACAUGUAAGUUGGAAACUUUAAUGAAAGAGAAGUUUUCAAGGAGUGUACCUUGAAUUAGAACCUUCAUUACCAUGAAUUGUUUCUAGUAACAAAGUUCUAGUGGGAUAUUCUGCAAUAUCAAAGACUCAGUCAUUGAGACUUUGGAAUCUUGAUAUCAUGGGAGAUUAAUGCAUGUUAAGUUGGAAUUCCAUCAUAUCUUGGAUAGUGAUAAGAAUUUGGAAUUAUGAAAAGUGCACCAUUGGAAUAAUGCCCGAUUGAUCUUUUCAUAAAGGAAGGACUAUAGAGAGGCAUAGUAUGCAUGUUCAUAACGUGGAAUGACUAAUAUUUUAUUUAAGUGGUUAGUUGAUUACUCGAAACAUUAUACAAUGAAUUAAGUCAUAAUUAUUAUGAUGAUUAAAUAAUACAAAUUAUUUAUAUUUAAUAGAUUUGAGACCAUAGUUAAUUAGUUUAUUAUUGUGUUUCACUUUUCAUGUUUUACUUCCUGAAUGAUUUGAUUAUAUGAAAUUCCACAGUUGCUCAUACUUUUGGAAGUAAGUAGUGAAUUAAGAUUGUCAUGAAUUGGAUUUUAGAUUGUCUAUGAGGAUUAGACAUUGCAAUAAGAUUGCUACAAUGGUCUUGAGUACUUCGAAAAAUGGGGAUUUUGAGUAUUGGAUAAACCCACACUCAGAGAAUUACUUCAUGGAUUUUAUCAUGAGUAAUUGUGAGAUGAUAAUAUAUUUUAUUCUUAAAAUGGAUAUAUAUGAGUUGUAAUUUGCAAGUCAGUUGUGCAUUGGUAUUGAGAAUACGCAUCAGUAAUGUGAUGUCAUAAAACGUAGUGUCAUGCAUGAUUUGGUAAGUAUAAGAUACAAGCAUAUAAGUGUAAAGUCCGAAAUCUAGGAACCAAACCAGUGAUCAAACAACAACAAUCAAGCAAUCAAAUAGGAACAGAAUAAAGAAGAAGAAGAAUUUGAUCAAGCAAUGCACAUGUUAUAUUGCUGGGCUGCAAACAUCUAGUACACCUUGACAACACACAGAUGAACCAUGAACUCUCUCUAAAAGACACUACUGACACAAUCUGGCACACAACUACAUGUAGGGAUAGACUGGCCGUGAAUAUGGUUCAUGGCCUAAUACGUGUUCACGGCCGUAUACCCAUUCACGGCCGUGAACGCCUUCACAACCGCAAACCUAACAAAACAUUACAUUAAAAGACCAAGACCCUAUUAAGAUCUAUACAAAUAGUUGCCUAGCUCAAACCACAUAUAAGUAUUUCCUAACAAUCUCCCCCUUGUUUUGGGACUAGCAUGAACUCAGGUCUGCUUGAACACCACGUUUGAUUUUCCUAUAGCCCCCAUCCACAGCCUCUUCUCAAUGAUCUUAGCAACCAUGCUUGUAAAAUCUUUGGCGAUUGGCUCCAUGAUCUCUAUUUUGCAAAUAAUUUGGUGUUGAGCCAUGGUGUGUAUAUCUCUCUCUCUCCUGGAACCGCAACAACUCUUUAGCAUCAACAAGACGAAGAACAGUAUCACUAUCAGUGAACUUGAUUGCUGUUUUGGUUGUCACCUCAUCAAAAGCCCAAAAUUCAAUUCGGUCCAUAUCCUUCUUGGAAAAGUUGAGGAAUAGGAAUUUCUUUCAACUGUUUAGUCAGAGGCCACAACACUAUCUUCAUUGGCUCGUUGGUUUUGGGAUCAAGCACCUCCUUGUCCCAUGUUCAUUUUAUGAUGAGGUUUCGUAUGAGAACUCUCCUGAAAAUACCUAUGUCAUGGUGGGGUGCAUACUAGACUAGCCGAUUCUAAGUAACUGAUAGUUGUUGUGAGUAUUCUUAGAGUUGCUAAUAACACCAGGACUACUAAUAAUACUUAAGACUACAGAUAGUCCUAGGGUUGCUGAUAACCAAUAGUUUUUUUAGACUAGUAGAGGGGUAGUGGUAUACUUGUUUGGAAUACCUGGGGGCGGUGGUGCAUGUGGUUUUAAGACCCUUGGGAAUUUUGGGCAGAUGAUUAUGCACAUGUGCUGUUUUGGGAGCCUGAGCAUCACACAAGUUUUGAUAUUGCCAUGAUAGUGAUCGUGGAGGAGUUGGUUAGUUGCAAAUUGUUAAUAAGUUGAGUUUGCAGUUAAGGACCUCACUCAUGAUAUCUGAUUCUGGGUUGGAAUGAUUUGAAUUGUUGAUGUUAUGUUUGACUAUCUUCAUGGCUUGAUGUAGGGUUUUGAACCAAGGGGUGGGGUGUGUUCUAAUUUAGCUCCUGUUUUGUCUUUCUCGUUCUAAUGGUAGUGAGGCGAUUUUGGUCAUUUCUGCAGUUAAUAGUGAAUUUAUUCUUCUGUUUUUAGUGGGACAGCUUAAAGUUAGGAAUUAUUUUGUUUGGGAUCAGACCUUUUGAGUCUUUGUUAACAUGGUAGAGGUUGAGGGAUGCCUUGUCUAUCAAGGUACAAACAUGUUCGAGGAACAUAAGUUAUGAGAAAGGGAGCCAACUCUCCUCGAAUCGGUUGGCUGUGAUGUAUGAUCUUCAUUCUCUGUCAGUGAGCAUGAUUUUAACCUUUGGGAGAGUGUGUGAUCAAAUUUGGCGUACGCGCCAGUUUUGGAAAUCUUUAGGUCUUAAUUGCAAUUUUGGGCAUUCGUUGUGCCGAUGGCUUGAACAAGAAGUGAUUGGUCUUGAUAGAUCCCUUGAAGGGAUUUGGAGGAGGGGGGUUUCACAAAAUGAACGGUAACAACAAAUUUCAACGCUGACAUCAUAUUUAAGUGUGGAAGAAUUGUAACACCCCUUUCCUGGUUUGGAUCACUUUAGAGCAUUAAGGAGUCAAAACUUGGUUUUUGGGAAAAUCAGCUGUCACGACGUAACCAUAGAGUGACCAUGACGUGAAAAGCUGAGCAUUCUUACCAUGAUACAUAGAUGGUCAUGACGUGAAUAGAUUUGUAUCCCAAGACCAUGAUCUUUUAGGGUUUGCUUCGUAUUUAAGCACCCUAAACUCGUAUUUAGGGUUUAUUUCUCAGCCUCCAUCUUCCAUAAACCUCAGAACCCUAACCCUAGUUCAUCUUGGUAGUUUUGCUCAUUUUGAGUGGUUUUGGUGCUCUUGGUUGAAGAAGAUGGUCCCUUUGGUGCACUGGUUCAACAAUCAAGCCUUUCUUCACCACAUUGUAUUGUUUCUAGACCUUGGUGAGUUCUCAAGCUUUUUCCUUUCUCUCUUAUGCAUGUUAGAUCUAAGUUUAUUGCACUUUUCUUCAUGUUUGGAUUAGGUAACAUGCAUGCAAUCCAUAAAGUUAGCAACCUUAUGGAUCAUUGAGGCAUUUCAUUUAGCAUAUGUCUCAGAUAUGAGGAUUUGUGGUGGUUUGGACUCCAUGCAUGGGUUUUUGCCCCAUUUUCCUUUAUUUGGACGUAGUUAGUGUUCUAGUCAGGCAUUGGACAUGCUUGAUUGAAAAGCUACGAUUUUUAUGGUCCUUAGGGUUGGGGAAAACCCUAUGGAAAAUCUGAAGGAGUGGAUUAAGGGAUUUAGAGCUUAAUGCUCAAAUCGAUCCAGAACGGAUCUCACGAUGUGAGGAAUGGCAUGUCACAUUGUGAGAUGAGGAUGCUCGCGAUUGUUUUUCCUGAUUUGGUCAUGACGUGACCUAUGGGUGGUUAGGACAUGACCAUUGGCAGAAGCUGGCCAUGGUUGACUGUUGGGUCAAGCUAGGGUUUUAAGGAUGUAUGCUAAAGAGGGUAUAUCUUUACUGCUUUUGGGUGUCUUGUUGCUCCUAUCUACCCGGUGUGUAAGAGGUUUGGUGUUUAGCAGCUAUUCACAAUGUGAGUCCUCUCACUAUACUUGCAUGUGUGGUAGUAUAUGUCGACCAGUUGGGUGUUAGUUGUUGAUUGUUGUUAUAUAUAUAAACUGAGAUAACUCAUGGGUUAUUGUAAGUCUGUGGGACUGUUGGUAGUCUCUAGGGUUGCUGAUAAUCCGUGAGGUGUGCUGUUAAUCUACAGGGUGUGCUUUUAGCCUAAUGGAACUGUUGAUAGUCCCUAAGGUUACUAAGAACCUAUAACUGUUAUAUUGUGUAUUGUAUGUGAUAUUCAGAACUACUGAUAGUUCCAAGGAUGUUGUUAUAUGUUGUGAUGUAUGAGAUAUUUAGGGAACUAACUAAGCUUUCGGCUUACAUUUGUGGAUCAAUAAUUUUGUAGGCACUUGUCGGAUUGUGAAGGCGUGAUUGUAUACAGACAUCAACAGUUUUAUGAUUCGAGAUUUCGUACCGUCUUCAUUAUAACAAUGAUUUAUGCAUAAUGGUUUUGGAAAAAAUGAUUUAUCCUAAAUGUAAUUGUAUUAAAAAUGGAUGUUAUAUUACUAUAAAAAGGAAAAUUUAGCCUGGGUUUUUGGGACGUUACAAACAUUAAAAUUGCCAAUUAUAAGAAAUUCACCUUAUCACAUCACAUAAAUGAAGACAUAAAGUCCCAUACUUUGGUUACUGUUAUCUACUUUGUGCCGCAUAAACAUUGACAAGAAAACAAGUAAAAUUGUGCUUUACACAAUCACCCUCAACAAUAAGAACAUUAUUUGUAGAAAAACUCUAGUUUUUACAAAAAUUGUUGGAUCACACCAGUUAAAAUCCCAUCUAAAUGACCCCGGGUACUACUAGACUCAACAUUAAAUUGGUAAUUACUCCAUACAUACUUGACAAUAAAAAGAUCUAACUGAGUUAUCUUUGUGUCCUGUAUUCCCUAAACAUCAAUACAAUGCUUUGUACACAAACAUUUUAUCUACUUCCUUUUCUUGAUUUUUUUAACAGCACAUGAACUUAUAGACAUUAAAUUCAUUUUAUAUUAUUGUUUAUACUCAUUCUUUCAAGUUGUCUUGAAUAUCUUCUUUACACAUAUUCAAUCCAUACCCAAAUCAUUAACAAUCUCCACAUUGCAUUGAAUCAACUAAUGAUCCGACAUGAAGUUUCUUCCAUUCACAAUUUUGCAACGUAUUGAACCGACAUGUGGUUUAGUGGCAUCAUACCACAUGAGUUAAUUGGCGAGUGAAUUGUUUUCCCACUAAAUCAUGCUGGCAUGGACUUAGUUUUACUAGAAUGUGAAACUUAUAUGUUAUCUAAAGGUGACUCCUUGCUAUUCAUUACUUUUCCCCUACAUGUACAUCUUUCUCUAUUUAACCCACCUCCACCAUCACUUCAUUUUCUUUGAUAACAACAUCAAGAAACUUUGUAAUAGACUCAGAACCACUUGUGUCGUCAUUUUCCUUGUACUCUAAUUUUUUGGAGACCUUCUCAACCACUACCUCCUUAAACACCUCAUCCAUAUUAUUUUAAUGGAAUGGAUCAAGGACUUCAUCAUGUUCUACUUUUUCACCUCCCAUGUUAUCAUAAUAUUCAAUCCAUGCUCAUGUUCAUCUUCUUCAUCUGAAUAUCUCUUGAGUUGUUUUGAGCCUAAAUUUGAAAAAAAACCCUACCCUAGAAAUCAUAGGACUCUAUGCCGAGAACUUGCUUAUCGUGACAACAUAAUCCACCCCUUUAGUAUUGACACAAACCUAUUCAUUAAUAACUGUUAGCCCAUAUAUUUAUGGGCUCCUUUUUAUCUUGUACUUUGGCCCAUUAGGGUUUAGCCUAUUACCCUUAGACUUUUGGUAUUUAUUCAAUUGUUCAUGUUUUAUAGCCUUAACACUUUCUAAUGAAGAACUAGAAUUUUCUCUCUUUUAGUAUGAAUGUUGUUCUAUUAUCAUGGUAUCAGAACUUGAAGGUUUGGGAUCUUGAUUGAACGUUUUGUAGCAGUUAUCUAUUGCACAAUUUGCUAUUUGAUUUAUGCUUGUCCAGUAUGUUGCUUCUGUUGGUUUGUUUUUGUUCUUAUUCUCUGAUUACUUGUCUAUUAUUGUUGUUUUUCUUGUUGUGGUUAUCUAUAUAUGGGUAACAUGAUUGGAAAGGAUGACCCCUUUCAGUUAAUUUGUACUCAAUUAGAUGGAAAGAAGUACAUGUAUUGGAGCUAUGUUAUGAAAAACUUCCUUCACAGGAAGAAUAUGUGGGGCUAUGUGAACGGGGUUCAAGUUAAACCUUCAGUGCCUUAAGCUAAGAAUUUUGAUUUAUUGAUUGAUACUUUAGAGACUCAUAACUCCAAGGUUAUUACUUGGAUCAAUAAUUUUGUUAGAUAGGCUAUUGGUAUACAAUUUGCUAAAUAUGACACAACAAAGAAAGUUUGGAAUCAUUUGGAGAGAGUGUAUACUUAGUCCAACUUUGCUAAACAAUAUAAGUUAGAUUAUGACAUUCGUGCCCUUCAACAAUAUGAUAUGAGUAUUUAAGAUUUAUAUGCUUCUGUAUCAGAUUUAAAGGAUCAAUUGGCUCUUACUCAAUCUAAAGAAUUAAAAGAUUAUGUGCCUUAUAUCGCCAGGAUGGAAGAACAAUGUUUGGUUCAUUUUUUAAUAGCAUUGCGCUAUGAUUUUGAAGGCCUAUGUGGAAUGAUUCUUCCUCAUACUGCUUCCCUAAGUGGAUUUAGUUGUUUAUGAAUUGAUUGUAGAAGAGACACGUAUCAAUUCUCAGACGGAUAAAGGGUAUAAAGUAACCACUCUUACGUCCACUCAUGUUGUGUUUAUGUUCCCUCUAAUCACUACCAACAAGCUCCAAGGGUUGGUUAUGAUGAGCGUGCCUUCUACAAACAGAAAAUAAUUAGAAAGCUCGGUGUCUAUUGUUACAUAACAAGGCUAGAUCUGGUCAGUAGGGAGAAUGACAUAAAUCUGGUUGGCAGAAGUUUCAUCCACACUCCUCUAGUGCCCCUUCAUGGAUAUCUCACCUUCCAUAGUUUAUUGAUGUUGCUACGUCACCAACUAACACUGAUUCUGUUGGCAACAUGCCACCUUAUGCGUUGCAUCCAAAUGUUUUUAAGAGUUUCAAGUUGUAUUUCGUCUCUAAUCCUACUACCAUGUCCGCUUCUAUGUCUUAUUAUGGUCCUACAUCAUCCGGUACCUCAGGUAUUCCCUCAUCUUUGUGGAUUUUAGAUUUUUGUGCAACCCAUUACUGGAUUAGGUUUCUACGCCAAUAAUUGAAUUAGUAUAUACUUGAAUUAUUAGCAAAGUCCUUUUGGGUUUCCCUCAAAUCUAGUAAUUGAAUAGGAUAACUUUUAAAGAGAGGGAGACUAAUUUAUUGAUUUAUUAUAUGAUUAAUAAAUAACAAUAAAUGAAUUUAUUUAAUAUGUUAUUGGAAUUAAUUUUGGGAUUGAUUGGAUUAACUAAAAGUAUAGGGGUCAAAUUGUAAUUGUUUAACAGUUGAAGAAAAGAUUCCACAACCUUCAUCCUUUAGGGUGGAUGGUUUCUGGAGGAAAUAUUCUAGGGUUUCUAGAAUAUCCCUUAUAGAUAAUUAGGGAGUAGAUAAUUACCUAAUUGGAGAUAUUAAUAUAAUAUUCAAAUUAGGGUUAUCCAGGGUUUCCUAAUUCAACUAUAAAUAGACCCUAAGGACAUCAUAAUCCAGCCACUUGAUUAUUCCAAGGCAUAGCCAGAAUUCUACUUCUCCCAUCUCUUCUCUCUUUAAGCCUCCUUGUUGCUAGGGUUCGGUGUGAACCAUCAAAGGCACGGGAAUUUUGGUGCUAGCUUCCAAGCGACUACAAGAAGGAUUAUGAUUGAUUAUCAACUAGUAUAAUCAAAAGGUAUUUGACCUUAAACUCUUUUUGUUAUUUUCGAAAAUAUUAGGGUUCUUGUAGGGUUAUUGAUGUUAAAUUGGUUAUUGCAUUCAAUAGUGAAAACAUAGAUUCUUUAGGUUGCAUGUGAACUUAGGGUUUAAGUUUUUUUUUGCCAAAAUAUGAUUUUUGUAACUUAUAAAUCCCAUCAGUGGUAUUAGAGCCAUUAUUUUCAAUUGAAUAUGCAUAAUAGAUGAAAAGAUCAAGAUUCAGGUUCAUAAAAAUUAAGCCCUAAGGGAUAUAAAAUUUCGACUCGGGCUAGGGGUUUUGAAUCCCUACCCUCCACCCUUAUUUUCAAAUUUUCUAGGGUUUCCUUAUUUGAUAAUUAUAGUUUUUAAUUGUUUAAAAUAGAAUAAUUUAAAUUUGAUAAACCUUAUUCCUUGAUUUUCAAAAAUUUAGAUGGAAAGGGAUUAGGAUUAAAUUUAAAUUAUUUGAUUAAUAGUUAAAGGUAAAUAAUUAUUUAACCAUCAUAAGAUUUAAAUUAAUUUAAUUAAUUGUUAAUUAAAAGAUAUGGGAUUAAAUCUUAAUUGGUUUAUUUUAAAUUGAAUUAAUUCUUUUAAUUUUGAAAAUUUUAAAUUAAACCUAGUAUUUUGGAAAAGGUUUUAAAAUACNUAUAUAUAUAUAUAUAAUUUGGAAGUUAAUUACUAUAUGUAUAAGAUUAAGUCAGUCGGAUCACUAGUAUGCCUCAUUCAUGAAGCUGAACUAUAAGGGGGUAUAAUGAAACUACCUAUAAAAUGGUAGUUGAAUGAGCGUCUACUCUCACCCACCGCUUCCUUAUUUGGUGGAGGGACGUUAGCAAAACGGAUCUAAUAGGACACUAACUUCAUUAAAAGUAUAAUGUUAUUAAAUUAGUAUAACUCUUUUAAAAAAUCCCACUCUAGUUACUUUAGGAAAAAUGUGAAAAGUAUGCUAAUCCAUGAAAUUGCACAUUAUGCUUUAUAUGUCAUUAUUGGAGCAUGUGUGGUUAACUAAACACACUAAUAG
rnacentral:lncRNA from 1 species